rnacentral:lncRNA from 1 species
GAGGAGAGACGAGAGGUCACACGUGGUACAGGUCUAUUAUAACUGUUAGAGAGAGAGAGAGAGGGUCACACCUGGUACAGGUCUAUUAUAACUGUUAGAGAGAGAGAGAGAUGGCACACCGUGGCAGGUCUAUUAUAACUGUUAGAGAGAGAGGAGGUUCACCGUGGUCGCAGGUCUAUUAUAACUGUUAGAGAGAGAGGAGAGAGUCACACCGUGGUACAGGUCUAUAUAACUGUUGAGAGAGAUAGAGAGAUGGUCACACCGUUGUUGGUACAGGUCUAUUAUAACUGUUAGAGAGAGAGAGAGGUCACACCGUGGUACAGGUCUAUUAUAACUGUUAGAGAGAGAGAGAGGUCACACCGUGGUACAGGUCUCUUAUAACUGUUAGAGAGAGAAGAGAGCUUUCACCGUGGUACAGGUCUAUUAUAAAUGUUUAGAGAGAGAGGUCACACCGUGGUACCAGGUCUAUUAUAACUGUUAGAGAGAGAGAGAGGUCACACGUGGACAGGCUAUAUAACUGUUAGGAGAGGUCACACCGUGGUACAGGUCUAUUUAUAACUGGUUGAGAGAGAGAGAGGUCCACGUGGUACAGGUCUAUUAUAACUGUUAGAGAGAGAGAGAGAGAGGUCACACCGUGGUACAGGUCUAUUAUAACGUUAGAGAAGAGAGAGGUCACACCGGUUGGUCAGGUCUAUUAUAAACUGUUAGAGAGAGAGAGAGGUCACACCGUGGUACGCGUCAUUAUACUGUUAGAGCGAGAGAGAGGUCACACCGUGGUACAGGUCUAUUAUAACUGUUGCGAGAGAGAUGAGAGAGGUCACACCUUGUGGUACAGGUCUAUUAUAACUGUUAGAGCAGAGAGGGUCAGCACCGUGGUACAGUGUCUAUUUAAACUGUUAGAGAGGGAGAGAGGUCACCCGGGUAGGUCUAUUAUAACUGUUAGAGAGAGAGGAGUCCCACCGUGGUACAGGUCUAUUAUAAACUGUAGAGAGAGAGGGGGUAACUGUGUACAGUUAUAAUGUUAGAGAGAGAGAGGUCACCCGUGGUACAGGUUUCUAUUAUAACCUGGUUAGAGCGAGAGAGAGAGGUCACACCGUGGUACAGGUCUAUUUAACUGUUAGUAGAGAGAGAGAGAGUCCACCGUGGUACAGGUCUAUUAUACUGUUAGAGAGAGA